rnacentral:rRNA from 1 species
ACACCUGUGAGAAUGCCCUACAGUUUCCCGCCCGGAAACAAGGAGCCGGUAUCAGGCACACCCCGCAGCCCAUGACACCUUGCUUAGCCACACCCUCAAGGGAACUCAGCAGUGAUAAACAUUAAGCCAUAAGUGAAAACUUGACUUAGUUAAAGCUAAGAGGGCCGGUAAAACUCGUGCCAGCCACCGCGGUUAUACGAGAGGCCCGAGUUGAUAGCCCCCGGCGUAAAGAGUGGUUAAGAUAAACUAGACACUAAAGCCGAAUGCCCUCAAAGCUGUUAUACGCACUCGAAGGCAAGAAGAACAAUCACGAAAGUGGCUUUAUUUCCCUGAAUCCACGAAAGCUAUGGUACAAACUGGGAUUAGAUACCCCACUAUGCCUAGCCUUAAACAUUGGUGGCAAGCUACCUCUGCCAUCCGCCCGGGAACUACGAGCAUCAGCUUGAAACCCAAAGGACUUGGCGGUGCUUUAGAUCCCCCUAGAGGAGCCUGUUCUAGAACUGAUAACCCCCGUUUAACCUCACCCUUCCUUGUUUUUCCC